rnacentral:lncRNA from 1 species
GGCCAGUAAAGUCCAGCCAGCAUUAAAUUUAUCCCUUGUUAGCAACCCUGCUGAGAUGUUUCUUACUAAAAGAGUGCGUGUUAUGUCAUCCGCGAGUGCAUUGACCUCCUGUACGGCUUUGCUUCACUUACUGGGGUGGUGUAAUAAGCCAAAAAAAAUAUUUUAGGGGGCUUGGCCGCCGCAGCACCAGCGGGACCGUAGCGGCCCAGCUACUAUGCAGCGCUUCAGCAGGCAUCAAUGUAUUUGCUAGUCGAUGUCAUUGAGAAGAAAUGCAUGCAGUAUGAUUCGAAGUAGGUCACAUUAUUUGCUACAGCGGCAGUUCCAAACGCACACAUUUCCGUGCUGCUUCCAAGAAACAAGCCCUGGCGUGAUUCAGCGACCCCGUCGCUUGCAAGCUCGUGGGUUGACGCUUCAGGAUGAACUUGGCAGCACUUCACUAGAUGUCUUAGUCAUCGCAUCUCAACCAACUUCUUGCUAACAUGUAACCGUGAAGAUAACCGUCUUAUCGCUGUUUCUUUGCGAGACGUGUGCGGCGCUGCGAGCACGUGAUGGUUGUCUGCUUGACCGCGUCAACCCACCCAAAAAAGUCGUGUGCUUGACCAGCUGUCACACCCCGAUGCUCAUCAUGAAUCUUCCCUAAGUGGGUUUAUGUCACUAUUUAGAAUUCGGCAGUUCUUUCCCAGGUGUACACAUCAUUGGGUUGUGCGUGUGCCAGUCCAGUUUCCUGUCUGCUUCGACGGUCAUAUCUUGUGGGAUUUUCAGCGCUAUUCGUGGUAAAAAGGUGCACGAACACAGUGUCGACGUUAUUUUGAGACGCUGUUAUCGCAAACGUCUGGUCGUACCGGUGUGGUGUCGCCUUGGUAUGGGCGAAUUGUUGAUAUUUCUGCCCCUCCCGAUGGAGUUGAGUGUUCCCAAAACGGCCGAAGUGGCAAUAAAAGAAACAAAACAAACAGUGUGGAUGUUUUCUGCUCAGGGCAGCAAGUUUGUUCCAUUUGACACAUGCUCGCGGGCAGCUUUCUCUGAUCUCAUGGAAGAAGAUAGUUCGUGCAGAUAAUCGUACACGCUUGGAACCACUUUCUUAAUCGCCAUUCCGCACGCUGCCCCGCAGUCGUCAAAGGAAAUCUGAAGCCCGUCGAAGAAUCACCACGGGUAAGCCAAUGCAGGUGAAGGACCUGACUGAGGAAGUGAAUCUCACUUGGAACGCGAACGGUCCGAAAGCCAAAAACGGAAGUUUUCUUAAUGUACGACCAGAGAAUUCUGUGCACUGCUUAGCUAUCUGGAGAAGCUCUGUUGAGGCCCUGAGUGAAGCUGCCAGCUGCAAGGUGAGGACACCUCGAACAGGUUAGCUCUCUGAGCAUACCGCAAUUCUUUGGAGGAAAAAUUACUCGUUGACUAGACAGGAUGUUUCAUCAGAAGCGUUGCGCCGGCAUCUGGGUGUACUACCUUACCUUCUCAUUCAACACUCCAUAGACAGAAACAAAUGAAAGAAACCGAAUAUGUGGCUGAAUGAGAUUCUUGCGCAUCUGCAUCAGCAUUCAGGUAUCUUUUUGCUCUGUCCCGUGCGUGCAACCGGAUGGGCUUACCAUUUCUUCAACGCAUUCUCUCAGAAUCUCGUAGCGGGAACGCUCGCUUGGAGUUGGAAUAAAUUGCUUGAGGUCAACCCGGUCCAAGAAAGCUGGAUCGACUGCUUCUAUAUUUGCACGACAGCGCUGACAAAAUGGCGAGGUUCCCCGCAAAGGCAAGAUUAUCCUGACGCGUACCUGGUACGUUAGACGUCGUCAGAACCAAUGCGUUCGAGUAAGACUUCAGAACGUCAAUCUGGGUCAACAGAGCAUUCACAACCCUCACGGCGUCUGAGGGUUCAUUGCCUGCCAUUGCAGCUCUUCUGGCAGUAGAGAGUGAUUCCACCUCGUCAAUGAGAACGCACACAAAACAAGAUUCGUCUUCCAGCAAGUCUUUAAUUGUGGUGAACAUUUUCAGGACGAGUUUUCCAGAUUCGCUGAACCAUCGGGAGAAGAGAGAGUGAGCAUUUAUUUCGAGAAGUUGGCUGCUGCGGUAUCGGUAACUCAUCCUGACAGAGAGUUUUUGUGCCAGCGCUCUACAAAGCGAAGUUUUGCCUGUAAGAAACAUGUGCUUCCCACCAGCAAGAAAGAUGCGUUAAGAAACUUGCGCACCUGUGCCGGGAGGGCCAUGGAGUAGCAGAAGUCUGUUCCAGUUAAUUAGCUGCAACGGAGUCCCUCAGACCAGUGCACUGCACACAGCUCGGCGGCGAUUGAUUCACCUUGUCAUUGAUUCUGUGGUCGGAGAAGAGCAUGGCGGAAGAGGCGUACUGGAGCAGGGUUUUUUUCACGUUGGUGUCGAAAUGAAGACUAUCCCACA